CAGGCAAAAACUUUCUCCCAGAUCAGCCUCUCACGAAAUACUGUGACACGUCGUAUUGAAGAAAUGUCUCGAGACAUUAAGGAGCAAUUUAAAGCAAAGGCUGCUGGAUUUGUCGCCUUUUCUUUGGCGUGUGAUGAGAGCACGGACAUUUCGGACUCUGCACAACUUUUGGUUUUCAUACGGGGAGUAAAUGAAAACAUGGAAAUAACUCAGGAGCUGGCUGGAUUUGAGACACUGCGCAGCACAACAAAAAGUGAGGAUUUGUUUGCAGCCGUUGAGCGAGUGUUGGAUACGAACGGGCUGAGCUGGGAAAAAUUGGUUGGGAUAACAACUGAUGGAGCACCUGCCAUGGUUGGGAGGAAAACAGGCCUUGCCACACUAAUUUCCCAGAAGGUUUCCCAAUGUGGAGGUAAGGUGGCAAAAUACCACUGCAUCCUGCACCAAGAGCAACUAUGUGCCAGAUCAGUUGGUAUGGGAGACGUGGUGCGUGACGUGAUUAAAAUCAUAAACUGCAUACGAUCAAAAGCGCUCUCACACCGCCAGUUCAGAGCUCUUCUAGAGGAGGUUGAUUCACAAUACAAGGAUGUGCUUUACCACCAAGAGGUGAGGUGGCUGAGCCGCGGGAAAUCCUCAAAAGAUUUUUUGAGCUGCGCCAUGUCAUCGCGGAGUUUCUGACAAGCAAGAACAGUGACACUCAAGUCCCCACAGAUGAAAAAUGGUUUUGUGACGUGGCUUUUAUGGUGGACAUCACUGACCUGCUCAACACCCUGAAUAUUCAGCUUCAAGGGAAGGAUCAGAUCAUCACUGAGCUGUUUGACCACAUAACGGCCUUCAGGUCGAAGCUGCAGCUACUCUGUCGACAUCUGUCAGCAGGAAACCUUGCACACUUCCCUAGUCUGAGAGAGGUCAACCUGGUGAAGCAGAGACUGCCUGAAUAUGCAGCACUUCUCAGACACUUGGACCAGGACUUUGCGUUGCGCUUUGAGGACUUUAGGGAAAGUAGAG